UUUAGACACUGGCGCCAGGUUUGCGCCUGACCGGCGCCACGCAGGGGUGGGCGGAGCAAAGACACACAGGUGGGCUACAGGUGUCACACGGCACCAGCCAGGGCCCGGGGUGGCUGGGGUGAGGAUGGGUGUUUGGCCAGUGACCAGGAGUCAGGUCAAGUCCAGGUGGUCAGUGCCAGGGGCUCCAGGAGGGGAGGGCAGUGCCAUAACCCUCCUGGUGUCCAGCGUCACCAGGCGGUCGUCACAGAAAGCAACCUCGGCCCGGGGCCCGGGUCUGCAGCAGGACGGACAGCGCCCACCCGGAG
rnacentral:lncRNA from 1 species